UACGUAGGGUGCGAGCGUUAAUCGGAAUUACUGGGCGUAAAGCGUGCGCAGGCGGUUGUGUAAGACAGAUGUGAAAUCCCCGGGCUCAACCUGGGAACUGCAUCUGUGACUGCAUCGCUGGAGUGCGGCAGAGGGGGAUGGAAUUCCGCGUGUAGCAGUGAAAUGCGUAGAUAUGCGGAGGAACACCGAUGGCGAAGGCAAUCCCCUGGGCCUGCACUGACGCUCAUGCACGAAAGCGUGGGGAGCAAACAGG
rnacentral:rRNA from 1 species